rnacentral:rRNA from 1 species
CCUACGGGAGGCAGCAGUGAGGAAUAUUGGUCAAUGGACGAGAGUCUGAACCAGCCAAGUAGCGUGAAGGAUGACUGCCCUAUGGGUUGUAAACCUCUUUUAUAUGGGAAUAAAAUGUUCCACGUGUGGGAUUUUGUAUGUACCAUAUGAAUAAGGAUCGGCUAACUCCGUGCCAGCAGCCGCGGUAAUACGGAGGAUCCGAGCGUUAUCCGGAUUUAUUGGGUUUAAAGGGAGCGUAGGUGGAUUGUUAAGUCAGUUGUGAAAGUUUGCGGCUCAACCGUAAAAUUGCAGUUGAAACUGGCAGUCUUGAGUACAGUAGAGGUGGGCGGAAUGCGUGGUGUAGCGGUGAAAUGCUUAGAUAUCACGAAGAACUCCGAUUGCGAAGGCAGUUCACUGGACUGCAACUGACACUGAGGCUCGAAAGUGUGGGUAUCAAACAGGAUUAGAUACCCUUGUAGUC